UAGGGAAUCUUCGGCAAUGGACGAAAGUCUGACCGAGCAACGCCGCGUGAGUGAAGAAGGUUUUCGGAUCGUAAAACUCUGUUGUUAGAGAAGAACAAGGACGUUAGUAACUGAAUGUCCCCUGACGGUAUCUAACCAGAAAGCCACGGCUAACUACGUGCCAGCAGCCGCGGUAAUACGUAGGUGGCAAGCGUUGUCCGGAUUUAUUGGGCGUAAAGCGAGCGCAGGCGGAUUCUUAAGUCUGAUGUGAAAGCCCCCGGCUCAACCGGGGAGGGUCAUUGGAAACUGUGAGACUUGAGUGCAGAAGAGGAGAGUGGAAUUCCAUGUGUAGCGGUGAAAUGCGUAGAUAUAUGGAGGAACACCAGUGGCGAAGGCGGCUCUCUAGUCUGUAACUGACGCUGAGGCUCGAAAGCGUGGAGAGCAAACAGG
rnacentral:rRNA from 1 species